rnacentral:rRNA from 1 species
UACGUAGGGCGCAAGCGUUAUCCGGAAUUAUUGGGCGUAAAGAGCUCGUAGGCGGUUGUCGCGUCUGCCGUGAAAGUCCGGGCUCAACUCCGGAGUCUGCGGUGGGUACGGGCAGACUAGAGUGCAGUAGGGGAGACUGGAAUUCCUGGUGUAGGCGGUGAAAUGCGCAGAUAUCAGGAGGAACACCGAUGGCGAAGGCAGGUCUCUGGGCCGAUAUUGACGCUGAGGAGCGAAAGCGUGGGGAGCAAACAGG